UACGAAGGGGGCUAGCGUUGCUCGGAAUCACUGGGCGUAAAGGGCGCGUAGGCGGUCGUGACAAGUCACUUGUGAAAUCUCCGGGCUUAACUCGGAACGGUCAAGUGAUACUGUCGGACUAGAGUACAGAAGGGGCAACUGGAAUUCCUGGUGUAGCGGUGAAAUGCGCAGAUAUCAGGAGGAACACCGGUGGCGAAGGCGGAUCUCUGGGCCUUACCUGACGCUGGAGGCGCGAAAAGCUAGGGGAGCGAACAGG
rnacentral:rRNA from 1 species